rnacentral:lncRNA from 1 species
CCAUGAUGGUGUUUGGCAUGAUAUAUGAUGACUAUUUGGACAUGAAUGAACUCUCACAAACCAAUUCCAAUCAUCCAAUCACUGAUUAAAUGGACAGUUGACCAACAGUUGACUUUUAGGGUUUCUGACUGAUUGUGCAUUGACUGAUGACUUCCAAACCCUAAUUCCUUGAGGACUUGACUUCAAAUGAUGUCCCAAGUUGUAUGAACUCUUGAUUAUUGACCAUGGUGCCCAAAUUCCACAAGAAUGACCACCAUCCACUGCUUUGACUGACAAUUGACUUUUUUAGGGUUUUUGACUGUCUGUGUAUGAACUGAUGAUCUCCAAGUCUUCAACCCUUGACCAAAAUACUUCAAAUAGACCUCCAAGCCAUGUGAACUUGUUGGACAAACCCCAAGGCCUUGAUUCAAUGAGAAAUUCCUUUGCUUGCUUGGUUGACUGAUCAGGAGAUUAGUUUGACCUAAUUCUUGAUUGCUUGCUCUUGAGGCAACUG